AGCGAACGCUAGCGGGUGGCUUAACACAUGCAAGUCGAGCGCUUCCUUCGGGAAGAGCGGCGAACGGGUGAGUAACACGUAGGAUAUCUGCCUUUUGGUGGGGGACAACCAGGGGAAACCCUGGCUAAUACCGCAUACGGUCUACGGAUCAAAGUCUUCGGACGCCAAGAGAGGAGCCUGCGGCCCAUUAUUUAAUCCUAGUUGGUGGGGUAAAGGCCUACCAAGGGUACGAUGGGUAGCUGGUCUGAGAGGACGAUCAGCCACACUGGGACUGAGACACGGCCCAGACUCCUACGGGAGGCAGCAGUGGGGAAUAUUGCGCAAUGGGCGAAAGCCUGACGCAGCCAACCCGCGUGUGUGAUGAAGGCCUUAGGGUUGUAAAGCACUGUCGUGAGGGAAGAAGUUCUGACGGUACCUCACAAGAAAGCACCGGCUAACUCCG
rnacentral:rRNA from 1 species